rnacentral:rRNA from 1 species
AUUGAACGCUGGCGGUAUGCUUAACACAUGCAAGUCGAACGGUAACAGGCCUUCGGGCGCUGACGAGUGGCGGACGGGCGAGUAACGCGUAGGAAUCUGCCUCAUAGUGGGGGACAACGUGUGGAAACGCACGCUAAUACCGCAUACGCCCUACGGGGGAAAGCGGGGGACCUUCGGGCCUCGCGCUAUGAGGUGAGCCGGCGUUAGAUGAGCUAGUUGGUAGGGUAAAGGCCUACCAAGGCGACGAUCUAUGGCUGGUCUGAGAGGACGAUCAGCCACACUGGGACUGAGACACGGCCCAGACUCCUACGUGAGGCAGCAGUGGGGAAUAUUGGACAAUGGGCGCAAGCCUGAUCCAGCAAUACCGCGUGUGUGAAGAAGGCCCUAGGGUUGUAAAGCACUUUCAAUAGGGAGGAAAACCUGUCGGUCAAUACCCGGCAGCUUGACAUUACCUAUACAAGAAGCACCGGCUAACUCCGUGCCAGCCGCCGCUGUAAAAC